UACGUAGGGGGCAAGCGUUGUCCGGAAUCAUUGGGCGUAAAGAGCGUGUAGGCGGCCCGGUAAGUCCGCUGUGAAAGUCCAGGGCUCAACCCUGGGAUGCCGGUGGAUACUGUCGGGCUCGAGUCCGGAAGAGGAGUGUGGAAUUCCUGGUGUAGCGGUGAAAUGCGCAGAUAUCAGGAGGAACACCGAUGGCGAAGGCAGGUCUCUGGGCAUUAACUGACGCUGAGGAGCGAAAGCAUGGGGAGCGAACAGG
rnacentral:rRNA from 1 species